rnacentral:snRNA from 1 species
AGCUUUGCGCAGUGGCAGUAUCGUAGCCAAUGAGGUUUAUCCGAGGCGCGAUUAUUGCUAAUAGAAAGGUAAAUACAUAUGAAGGUAAAAUUAUCUUAAAAGUCAAGGUAAAGUUUGGGGCGCCUGGUGGC